rnacentral:sRNA from 1 species
UCACGACAACUUUGUUAUAUUUCAUGGA